rnacentral:ncRNA from 2 species
GAUUUAUACAGAAGAGGUGAGAGACAGGCUCGAAGACCCUCUGGCAACCUACAGCUCUGCAAGGUGCCAAUUCCUGCCCCAAAAGGGAUCUAUAAAUU